rnacentral:rRNA from 1 species
UGCCCCGAAGGGUGACGAAGCGACGCCGCGUGUGGGAAGAAGGCCUUCGGGUUGUAAACCACUGUCGGGAGUUAAGAAAGGUGUACGGGUAAAUAGUCCGUGCAUUUGACAAAAGCUCCGGAGGAAGCCACGGCUAACUCUGUGCCAGCAGCCGCGGUAAUACAGAGGUGGCAAGCGUUGUUCGGAAUUAUUGGGCGUAAAGAGCACGUAGGCGGCCCUGCAAGUCAGCUGUGAAAGCCUCCUGCUUAACGGGAGAAGUGCAGUUGAAACUACGGGGCUAGAGUGCGGAAGGGGAGAGUGGAACUUCUGGUGGAGCGGUGAAAUGCGUAGAUAUCAGAAGGAACACCGGCGGCGAAAGCGGCUCUCUGGUCCGUAACUGACGCUGAGGUGCGAAAGCCAGGGGAGCAAACGGGAUUAGAUACCCCGGUAGUCCUGGCCGUAAACGAUGGGCACUCGGUAGAGGGGUUUUGAAUAUCUCUCUGCCUGAGCUAACGCGUUAAGUGCCCCGCCUGGGGAGUACGGCCGCAAGGCUAAAACUCAAAAGAAUUGACGGGGGCUCGCACAAGCGGUGGAGCAUGUGGCUUAAUUCGAUGCAACACGAAGAACCUUACCGGGGCUCGACAUGACAGAAGUAGGAGUCCGAAAGGACAACCAACGGUAUCCAGUCCGUAGCUGUCACAGGUGUUGCAUGGCUGUCGUCAGCUCGUGUCGUGAGACGUUGGGUUAAGUCCCCUAACGAGCGAAACCCUUGUCUUUAGUUGCCAACGGGUCAAGCCGGGCACUCUAAAGAGACUGCUGUCGUUAAGACGGAGGAAGGUGGGGAUGACGUCAAGUCAUCAUGGCCCUUAUGUCCCGGGCUGCACACGUGCUACAAUGGUCGGUACAAAGGGAUGCUAAAUCGCAAGAUGGAGCGAAACCCAGAAAGCCGGUCCCAGUUCAGAUUGGG